rnacentral:rRNA from 1 species
CACUUCUAAGGAAGGCAGCAGGCGCGCAAAUUACCCAAUCCUGACUCAGGGAGGUAGUGACAAGAAAUAACAAUAAACCGGCUUAUGCCGGUUUAAUUGGAAUGAGUACAAUUUAAACAUCUUAACGAGGAACAAUUGGAGGGCAAGUCUGGUGCCAGCAGCCGCGGUAAUUCCAGCUCCAAUAGCGUAUACUAAAGUUGUUGCAGUUAAAAAGCUCGUAGUUGGAUUUCUGUGGGGACGGAGCGGCCGGCCGCAACACGCGGUUCGAGCUAGCGCUUUCCCUACAUCCUGCCGCGAACCGUGCUACCAUUGAUUUGGGGGCGCCGGGGAUCGGCUCGAUUACUUUGAGAAAAAUAGAGUGUUCAAAGCAGGCCACAUGCCUUGAAUAAGUUAGCAUGGAAUAAUAACUAAGGACUUCGGUUCUAUUUUGUUGGUGUUCGGGACUGAAGUAAUGAUUGAUAGGGACAGUUGGGGCGGUCUGUAUUCCAAAGCGAGAGGUGAAAUUCUUAGACCUUCGGAAGACAAACAGCUGCGAAAGCGUUCCGCAAGGAUGUUCCCUUUGAUCAAGAACGAAAGUUGGGGGAUCGAAGACGAUCAGAUACCGUCGUAGUCUCAACUAUAAACUAUACCAGCUAGGGAUCGGCCAACGUUAUUUUAUACCGACUUGGUCGGCACCUUAUGAGAAAUCAAAGCAUCUGGGUUCCGGGGGGAGUAUGGUCGCAAGGCUGAAACUUAAAGGAAUUGACGGAAGGGCACCACCAGCCGUGGAGCCUGUGGCUUAAUUUGACUCAACACGGGAAAACUUACCAGGUCCAGACAUAGUAAGGAUUGACAGAUUGAUAGCUCUUUCUUGAUUCUGUGGGUGGUGGUGCAUGGCCGAUCUUAGUUGGUGGAGUGAUUUGUCUGGUUAAUUCCGUUAACGAACGAGACCCCAGCCUGCUAAAUAGCGCGCGUGAGCUUUGCUCGCGGCGAGCUUCUUAGAGGGACUAUGAUGCGCGAUAGCACAUGGAAGUUUGGGGCAAUAACAGGUCUGUGAUGCCCUUAGAUGUUCUGGGCCGCACACGGGCUACACUGGCGCCUGCAACGAGCAUAUCAGCUGGCCCGAGAGGGUCUUGGCUAAUCUUUUGAACCGGCGCCGUGCUUGGGAUUGACCUUUGCAAUUGUUGGUCAUGCAACGAGGAAUGCCUUGUAAACGCGAGUCAUCAGCUCGCAUUGAAUACGUCCCUGCCCUUUGUACACACCGCCCGUCGCUCCUACCGAUGAAUGUUCCGAUGAAAUUUUCGGAGAGCACCUGUGAACUUGGCUCUGCCUUGCGAACGGGAGGCUCAAAGUCACUUAAAUCUGAACAUUUCG